UUAUAUUUCAAUAAUCUGCCCUGUAGAACUUUCAAAUAUUUAUAUACUGAAUCAAUCUGAUUUCAUAUCCCCAAUAACAGCAAGUAUAAACAGACUGAAAGAGAGAAGGCGAAAAAGAGAGAGAGAAUAGAAAACGGAAUGCAAGAGACUGACAGCAAAUUAAUUGAACUGCAGCGCACAAGAAAGAUUUUGGACUCGUGGAACAGAAAGUUAUCUAUAUUUUAUAUAUUUC